rnacentral:rRNA from 1 species
UACAGAGGUCUCAAGCGUUGUUCGGAAUCACUGGGCGUAAAGGGUGCGUAGGCGGCGGGGAAAGUCAGAUGUGAAAUCCGGAGGCUCAACCUCCGAAUGGCAUCCGAUACUCCCUCGCUAGAGAUUUGUAGAGGAGCUUGGAAUUCUCGGUGUAGCAGUGAAAUGCGUAGAUAUCGAGAAGAACGCUCGCAGCGAAAGCGAAGCUCUGGGCAAAUUCUGACGCUGAUGCACGAAGGCUAGGGGAGCAAACGGG